UCCAGUUUAACACUGGCAGUCCCACUAGAGUCCCCAACUAAAUGCUGGUAACAAGUGGCGUGGGUUGCGCUCGUUACGGGACUUAACCCAACAUCUCACGACACGAGCUGACGACAGCCAUGCAGCACCUGUCCAGCGGUCUCCGAAGAGAAAGCCCCCUUUCGGAUGGCGGUCCACUGGAUGUCAAGACCAGGAUAAGGUUCUUCGCGUUGCGUCGAAUUAAACCACAUGCUCCACUGCUUGUGCGGGUCCCCGUCAAUUUCUUUGAGUUUUAACCUUGCGGCCGUACUCCCCAGGCGGGAUGCUUAACGCGUUAGCUUCGUCACUGAAAGGGUUAACUCUUCCAACGACAAGCAUCCAUCGUUUACGGCGUGGACUAC
rnacentral:misc_RNA from 1 species